rnacentral:rRNA from 1 species
AUACGGAGGGUGCAAGCGUUACUCGGAAUCACUGGGCGUAAAGCGCGCGCAGGCGGCUAUUUAAGUUGGAUGUGAAAGCCUAUGGCUCAACCAUAGAACUGCAUCCAAAACUAUUUAGCUAGAGUGUGGGAGAGGAAGAUGGAAUUAGUUGGGUAGGGGUAAAAUCCGUAGAGAUAACUAGGAAUACCAAAAGCGAAGGCAAUCUUCUGGAACACUACUGACGCUGAGGCGCGAAAGCGUGGGGAGCAGACAGGAUUAGAUACCCUAGUAGUCC